rnacentral:lncRNA from 1 species
CUGACAAUGAAAAUGUGCCUUCCCCAAGUUAACAUUACUAAGGACAUAAGCUUCAUUACAUUUAUUGCACAUGAAAGACAAAAACACGAUUCACUCCCUCUUUACUUCACAAGGAAAACCAAAUUAAUUUAAAUGAUUGGAAAACAAAAAUGCUGCAGCACACAGGAAACCCAUUAAAGCAACUGAUCUUUCAGUGAUCCAGAUGGUGCUCCUUUCUGUAGUAAGCCUGUUACUCUAGUCGUCAUCUUGGUGAGAAUCUAGAAUACCUGGGGGGGCAGCAUCUUAUAGCACUCUGUAUCUUACACUUAUCACUUCCCUCCACCCCCACCUCCUUUAAAAAAAAAA